AUGGCCGCGACAAACCCGGGCAUGGUUCAUGUGGUCGAGCCUCAUGGGCACCAAACAACGGUUCAUAAAGGAAGGAAAGUCCGAGUAUUUGGUCAUGCAUUUUGGGCAUUCGAUCAAUGCAUGAGGGCUUUCGAACACUGUAGGCCAGUCAUCGCCAUUGAUGGCACGUUCUUGACCAAACAAUACAAGGGCACCUUGUUGGUUGCGAUAGCAAGUGAUGCCAAUAACCGGGUGUUGCCAUUGGCAUUUGCUUUGGUUGAGGUGGAGAACAAUGACAACUGGGAGUGGUUUUUGCGUCUUUUGAGGACGAAGGUGUUACCCGCUCAGAGGGAAAUUUGUGUCAUAUCGGAUCGGAAUCAAGGUAUUCUUAACGCGGUGGAGAUUGACAUUCCCGGGCAUGCUCCGUUGCACCAUCAAUGGUGCAUGAGGCACUUUUAUUCGAACUUCUAUAGGGCAUGUGGCCUUAAGGAGUUGACUGAUGAUCUUCAAGAUUGUUGUCUCGCUUUCUCCGACAAGCGCUUCACCACUUUGUACAACAAAUUGCUUGCACACAAAAAACUUGAUCCCGGGGGUCAAGACUUUCUCAAUAGGCACAUUCAAUACCAGAACAAGUGGGGACGUGCUUUUGAUGAAUAUGGCCGGAGAUACGGUCAAAUGACAAGCAAUAUGGAUGAAUGCUUCGAUAGGGUGCUCAAAGUACUCGAUGGAAACGGAUGCACAGAUAGCGGGUGA
rnacentral:rRNA from 1 species